rnacentral:ncRNA from 2 species
CACUCAUCAAGACCGGCUGAGGGAUAGGCCCUUUGACGCCGGGGCAACCAUCGGGUUCCGCCCGAACGGUGCCAACUCCUGCGGGGAGGGUUUCGACCUUCCGCGAGAGAUGAGUG